GGUAAGGUGGCUGAGUUUAAGCGGUGGAUUGUAGCUCCAUGUACAGAGGUUUAAUUCCUCUCUUUAUCA
rnacentral:tRNA from 1 species